rnacentral:rRNA from 1 species
AGUGAACGCUGGCGGUAGGCCUAACACAUGCAAGUCGAACGGCAGCACAGUAAGAGCUUGCUCUUACGGGUGGCGAGUGGCGGACGGGUGAGGAAUACAUCGGAAUCUACUUUUUCGUGGGGGAUAACGUAGGGAAACUUACGCUAAUACCGCAUACGACCUACGGGUGAAAGCAGGGGAUCUUCGGACCUUGCGCGAUUGAAUGAGCCGAUGUCGGAUUAGCUAGUCGGCGGGGUAAAGGCCCACCAAGGCGACGAUCCGUAGCUGGUCUGAGAGGAUGAUCAGCCACACUGGAACUGAGACACGGUCCAGACUCCUACGGGAGGCAGCAGUGGGGAAUAUUGGACAAUGGGCGCAAGCCUGAUCCAGCCAUACCGCGUGGGUGAAGAAGGCCUUCGGGUUGUAAAGCCCUUUUGUUGGGAAAGAAAAGCAGCAGGUUAAUACCCCGCUGUCCUGACGGUACCCAAAGAAUAAGCACCGGCUAACUUCGUG